AUCCAGCCGACGAGUUCCAAAAUUGGACGAAACGCGCGUCAAACUGGAU
rnacentral:hammerhead_ribozyme from 1 species